AAGCAGGCCAAGGGCAGAAAACACCUGUGUGGCUGCCUCCCUCCACACCUGGGGCUCCAGCAUCUUCUCCAGCUUGAGCACACUAUAACACACUGAUGGACUGGUUGGGGCCUCCACUCUCCCCACACACCCUGCCCCUCUCUCCAUUGUCCCCUGCCACUCUUCCCGACGCCCCCUGCCCCUCUUCCCACACCCAGUGCCCUUCUCCCCCACACCCCCUGCCCCUCUCCCCCAUCCCACCUGCCCCUCUCCCCCACAAACCCUCCACUUCUCCUCACAGCGUUUCCUACCUUCCCGGAGGAUGCGAUACAUCUGAUGACAGCCAGGCAGACGAUGAUCCAGGCCACCAGCAGAGACAGGGUCAUCUUGACGUUCAGGCCGCCGCUGUCUGCGAUGGUGCUGGUAGUGUUCAGGGUCUGGCGGUACCAGAAGUAGGUGGCGGCCGAGCUUCUCUCACACUCAGGAUCCACGACUGCAGAGGGGUGAGGAGGAGGGUCAGUGAGGGGGAGGGAGAGAGAGGGGGGAGAGUAAAGGGAUAGAGGGAGUAGAAGGGUGAAGGAUAGAGAGCAGAGAGAAAUAUAAUAAGGGAGAGAAUAUUUACACAGGGACCAAAUCCCCUCUGCCCUCUGGAUUGGCUCUCCCAGACUGACAUUAGUAAGGUAAACCAACCUGGAGUCAGGGGUAGACGUAACAGGGGUAGAAGUAAAUGAAAAUGACGGGACACUGAAAUUAGUAUGAUAUGUUACGUUUGGUAUGGUAUGUAUUAAUUUGUGGAUGUCCAUCAUCCAUUUCGUAUGAUAUGUUACAAAUUACAGUUAGUAUGAUAUGUUAUGAAUUACAGUUAGUAUGAUAUGUUAUGAAUUGAGAUUUGUACAAUAUGUUCCGAAUUUGCAAUACAUAUGGUAUGCUAUGAAUUUCAAUUUGUUGUGAGUAACGUUAGCUAGAUGGCUAGGUGCUAAUGCUAAUCUUAGCUAGGUGGCUAACAUUAGCUAGGCUAGGGGUUAAGGUUAGGGUUAAGGCUAAGAGUUAGGUUAAAGGGUUAGGGUUAGCUAACAUAAUAAGCAGUUGCAAAGUAGCUAAAAAGUAGUUCGUAGUUGCAGACCUCAUUUCAUUUUCGCCUUAAGUAACCUUCUGUCUUGUUUGGGUUUCCAUUUACUAUGUUUAGUCUAUGAGACCAGCCUGGGUAAACAAGGUCAUUCUUUUACUUGGUAUGCACAGUAUGAGCACUCAUUCAGGACUCUUUAAAUGUAUCUGUGCUCAUAUUUUCACCUUUUAUAGUUAAACCUUGGGGAAAUGAUAAAUGGAUUUAAGUCUUGCAGAUGUACUGCACAAAUACACACACAUGGAUACACAUGCAUGCACGCACAGAAAUGGCCUGCUCAACUAAGUGUACCAGUCUCUAUUUAUGUCAGGUAGAUGGCAAUGUUCUGCAGAGGAAAUAAAGAUAGCCUCCUCCAUAAUUAUAUUUUUAUCCUCUCUUACUUCCUCUCUCUAUGAAUGAUGGCAUUCAAUGUUAUAUUCAGUAACUCUGUCGAUCUGCGCCCCUCUCUCUCUCUCCCUCCCUUAUCUCGUGCAUCUCCCUCCUUUCCUACAUGUCGCUCCAGAAGCAACAAACUGUAUUAAUAGUGAAAGCUACAGUAGGUCUGAAUGACCUUGGUCUGUGUUCUUUAGGUGAUUUGACCCUGUCGGUGCCAAUGUGAACCACAGUCUAUCUGAUGUGGUUAGUGCAGACAUGUAACCCCAGGGCCAGGCCAGAGUGGGUGCUAAGCAGUGUGGUCCUGGGGUCUCACACACCUGCAUGAAUGAUGGGGUCUACCAUUCCCUACGACCAUGGCGAGAGGUCACUUUUUAACACAGGAUUAAAGACAAUGCUACAGACAACCUUUAAUGCCACUAGGAAAAAUUAAUAUACCACUAUACUGUAGUGUCAGAGGUUACCUGGCAUGGUAUAGUAAACCACCAUUAGUUAAUUAACAGUGAUGUACAAUUAAACCUAUGGGGAAUCACAUACAAUACUAGCAUUUGUAUGAAGUACUGUAUGAUUACACAAUACCAUGAUGACUUGCUAAACCAUGCCUUAUGCCUCUGUCUCAGCGUAAGAACCAUGCUCACUGGUGGCUGACUGUCUCAUACUGCUGAGACAGGUGAGGGGCAGAGGAGAGGAGAGGAAAGGAGAGGAGAAGUGAGGAAAGGAGAUCAGAAGAGAGGAGAGGAAAAGAGGAGGAGAUGAAAAGAGAAGAGAGAAGAGGAGAGGAAAGAGAAGAGAGGUGCUGAGUGAUUUGAUUAUCACCACUUCUAAUCUAAUAGAACCUUAGAGGACUUAAAUCUGUGUCACGUUCUGACCUUAGUUCCUUUGUUUUGUCUUUGUUUUAGUAUGAUCAGGGCGUGAGUUGGGGUGGGCAGUCUAUGUUUGUUUUUCUAUGUUGGUUUUUGUGUUCGGCAUGGUACGGCAAGGGACCAUGGGCACAGGCUGGAGAAUAUCGCCGCCCCAAGGCUGAGUUGGAGGCAGCGAAAGCCGAGAGGCGGUGGUAUGAGGAAGCAGCCUGGCUACAGGGAGCAUUCAACCAGGGAUGGUUGGCCAGGCUCGUUGCUCGAGACCUCCCGUGCGCCUUACCUCCACAUACCAGCCCUCCGGUGGCAAACCCCUGCACCAGGCCGUCUCUCCGUCUUCUCCCUACAGGUGCUCCCUUCUCCCUACAGGUGCUCCCGCCUGUCCAGUGCUGUCAGAGCCUUCCUCCUCUCCAGCGCUGCCGGAGUCUGCCGGGGCUGUCUCCCCCCCAACACACAGUCUCCGCCUCUCUUUCACGAUCUAGUACAUUAUCCAGUUUACUCAUCUUUAUAGUCCUAUUUUUUAAUCUGUUACUUACUCAUACAAAUGUUUGUCACAUUCUAUGGAAUGAAAAAUGUGAGAUUGUGAGAAAUGUGAGCUUUCUCCAUCAUAGUAACACAGAGAAUCAGAAUAUUUGUUUGAAGUUGUGUGAGGUGAUGCAGACAAGGGGAACAAUGUUUAGACAGGCUUUGCUCAAUUAUAAUUCAAGGCAUAUCUAUUGUGUCCCCUGAAAGAGAGUUUGCCUCAUUAGCAAUUGCAAAAUCCAGAUCAACAGAUUCACAAAGUUUGUUUCCAUUCCAUAAAGCAACUGAGGAAAAACACAAUUUCUACUGUGUGUACUACUUCAAUGAAGAAGAAAAAUGCAAUUUUUGACAACUCAGUAAAGCAUCAACUCCGUCAUAUUUCUGUUUAACGUCAACUCUGUCAGAGAGCUGAAAGUUGUAAUAGAAUGGUUGUUUUAUUUGGCGUUUUCAAAUUAAUAAUUUUACAGAGUUUGGAAUUGUUUAUAUUGAACUUUUAUUUUUAGGGGGGAAAAUAUGUUUGUUUUGAGAAUACAGUGCAUUCGAAAGUAUUCAGACCCCUUGUGUUACCUAUAAGUCUUAUUCUAAAAUGGAUUAAAUCGUUUAUUUAACCUUUGUUUAAAUGGGAAAGUCAGUUAAGAACAAAUUCUUAUUUACAAUGACGGCCUACCCCGGCCAAACACGGAUGACGUUGGGCCAAUUGUGUGCUGCCCUAUGGGACUCCCAAUCACGGCCGGAUGUGAUAUCUCAGAUAGGGCGGAGUGAGGCCUAAGAGGGUUUUAUAAAUAAGCAUCAACCAGUGGGUCUUGCGACGGGUAUACAGAGAUGACCAGUUUACAGAAGAAUAUAGAGUGCAGUGAUGUGUCUUAUAAGGAGAAACUUUGUGACGGGGCAGGGGAAACGACACACGGUUGGGAUGGUGUUCUUCGGCUUGCAAGCCUCCCCUUUUUUUCUCCAAACACAACAAUGGUCAUUAUGGUCAAACAGUUCUAUUUUUGUUUCCUCAGACCAGAGGACAUUGCUCCAAAAAGUACAAUCUUUGUCCCCAUGUGCAGUUGCAAACCGUAGUAUGGCUUUUUUAUGGCGGUUUUGGAGCAGUGACUUCUUCCUCGCUGUGCGGCCUUUCAGGUUAUGUCGAUAUAGGACUCGUUUUACUAUGGCUAUAGAUACUUUUGUACUUGUUUCCUCCAGCAUCUUCAUAAGGUCAUUUGCUGUUGUUCUGGGAUUGAUUUGCACUUUUCACACCAAAGUACAUUCAUCUCCAGGAGAUGUUUGUACAGAUGAACAUAGUUCCUUCAGACGUUUGGAAAUUGCUCCCAAGGAUGAACCAGACUUGUGGAGAUCUACCAUUUUUCCUGAGGUCUUGGCUGAUUUAUUUAGAUUUUCCCAUGAUGUCAAGCAAAGAGGCACUGAGUUUGAAGGUAGGCCUUGAAAUACACCCACAGGUACAUCUCCAAUUGACUCAAAUGAUGUCAAUUAGCCUAUCAGAAGCUUCUAAAACCAUGACAUCAUUAUCUGGAAUUUUUCAAGCAGUUUUAAAGGCACAGACAACUAAGUGUAUGCAAACUUCUGACCCACUCGAAUUGUGAUUCAGUGAAAUAAUAAGUGAAAUAAUCUGAUUGUAAACAAUUGUUAGAAAAAUUACCUUUGUCAUGCACACAGUAGAUGUCCUAACCGAUUUGUCAAAACUGUAGUUCAUUAACAAGAAAUUUGUGGACCAGUUGCAAAACGAGUUUUAAUGACUCCAACCUAAGUGUCUGAAUAUUUAUGAAAAUGUGAUAUUUCAGUUUUUUUUAUUUUAAAAACCCGCUAUUGCUUUGUCAUUAGGGGGUAUUGUGUGUAGAUUGAGGAGGAAAAAACAUAAUUGAAUCAAUUUUAGAAUAAGGCUGUAACGUAACAAAAUGUGUAAAAAGUCAAGGGGUCUGAAUACUUUCUGAAUGCACUGUAUAUUUAGAGUGGUGUUUGUGGAGCUGUGCUCCCCUCUUGGCAGCCCAGUCUGACUGUGAUGGCUGGCCAGUGUAGCUGUCAUGUUGUUCUUUCAGUCUGGGUCACUGAGUAGCCAGGUGAGUAAACACUGAGCACAGGUAAAAUCCUAGAAGAAAACUUGGCUCAGUCUGCUUUCCACCAGACACUGGGAGAUGAUUUCACCUUUCAGCAGGCCAAUAACCGAAAAUAUGAUUUAUAUUUGUUCUUCUACAGUUCUACUUAGAAACACUUCAUGUACUUCUUUUAAAAAAUGUCAGCGUAGGGCCCUGAACUAUAAUAACAAGUAAGCCAUAUCACUCAGCAUUUUGUGGCAGGGCACGCACUUUGUUGAUUCUUGAUGUUCAGUUGUAGAACUGUUAAUCUGUUUUUACUAUUGGAUAUAUAUAGUUUUGUCAUGACUUUGCCCUGUUGGGUGAAGUUCAUUAAAAAAACUUUCCCUCUUUCCCCCCACAGGUUUAUGAUGCCCCCACCCCCCAUAAAUACCUUUCCACCUUCUCUCUCCACUCUACAAAAAUGGCCUUAUGAAAAUCUAUUGUUACCAGAGAGAGAGACUUUGCAAUACAGUAACAUCAAAAGGUUGGGUAUGGAACAAUAUUUCUGUAAUCCAACCAGUUGAAAGUAUCCGUUGGUACUUAAAACAUUAAUAUUAAAGAAUAUUUGUCACGUUCUGACCUUUA